GAAAGAAGACUGUCCUUCCCUUUUACUAAAGUACAAGGACAGGCCUUAGCAAAAUUUGGCAACAAGUAAUUUACCUUUGACCACUUCCUGCUUCUCUUUCUGUGCCCUGUUAAAGCGUGACUUCUCCCCAGUUUUUUCUCUUUUCCUUCUUCUCUUUUUCUGUGUUCAUUCCCAAAACUGAGCCACAGUUUCUGAAGGAAUGAUUAAUUUGCCAGUGGACACCUUCAGAGGUAGAAAAAUUUCCUGGAAUGGAUAGAGAUCUCUGAACAGUCUCCUUUCUCGCAGAGUAGAUAAAUGUCCUCUUGCCCUGUUACCUUCUCUCUCCCAUGGGUCUAAGAAUACCAACCAGUAGGAAAGCUAAAGGAAGUAGGAGAAGACUUCCUUUGUCAAGCCCCUCAGAUGGGAUCAAGAGGGAUUAGUGGGAAAACAUUACUGCACUUUUCUAACACAAAAUAUCUGUUUUGGGUUUUAUUUUAUUCUUUGCUUUAAUUACGCAGUAAAACUUUACAUAACACUGUCUCAGUUGAAUUAAGGGACGAAGGAUUAGAGAAUGUCCUGGGCAAAAAGAGAAGACAUUAGUUGGCAUUUGUGAUGUGUCACGUGAUCAUGCUAAUUGCAAUAUGGGUUUUUUAAAAAUAAAUGCAAAAUAUGGAAUGAUGUCUAAUGUUUAGAACAAGGUAAGUGGAUUUUAAAAGUUUUAUUCAAAACCUGAAUUUUAAACUGAACCAUAGUUGCCGUUUUAAGAUGACAUAAGAUUGAAGUGGAAAUGAUACAGAAAUGUAUUUGCCUGAAAGAUCAGUAGGAGAGAGAUCAUAAAAACAUCUGUAUGCAUGUGUCCUUGGUGCAUCUUUCUCAAAAAAUGCCUUGAAGCUGAUGAUGAACAUGUGGAACAAUUACUUUCUUAAGUUAGGAGCUAGAAUAGCCUAUUCUAACUUAACAUUAAGAAUAAGUAUCAGUUACUGGGGGGGGAGGGGGAGAAGAGAACAGGUCAAGGGUUAGACUGACACUGGAGCAUUGAGGUACAAAGGUGGAAGUUUUUCACUGCGUCACAACAUUUCUUUAUAUGUGUCUUGUUCUUUUCCUAGUAUCUCUCCCUACACUUCCUUAAGUUUCUCAAUAUUCUCUUUAUCUAGGUUUUCCCUAUUCCACAUAGUGUUCAGUGCCCCUAAAUUACCAACCUCCCCUCCCCCAACCAAAAUUCCCAUUUAAUUAAAUCCUGACACCAGAGAAUUCAUUCGUUUAAAAAAUAAUACUGGUCAGAAGUCAUGAAUAAUAUAAUGGAACCAAAACUGCGUUUGGAGUCAGAGGACCUGAGCUUAAAAUACAAAUUUGCCACUGAUCACCUGCGUGAACUUGGACAACCUUCCUUGGACAAGUAAUUUCUUUCUCAGCCUCAGUUUUCUCAUCUGUAAAAUGAAGAGAAUGGUUAGGUUCUGAGAUGCUUUACAGCUCUAAAUUAUGAUGCCAAAUAAAGUUUAAGGAAAUUUGAAUUUUUGAAUAAGAGAUGGGACGUAAGUAAUUCAAGGGGCACAGACUACUUUGCUGAGUAAAGCAGCCCUAGAUGGGGAUAGGGAGAAAGAGAGAUGGGUGUCACACUGAGGGGCAUAGAGUAGGGGAGAGAGCCAUGCACUAAUGGAUGGGAGAGGUGUGUGUGAAGAAACCUUCUUGAUAGAACUUAGAGUUGUUCUGCUUGACCCUAAAGGGCAGAACUAAGUCGAGUGGGUGGGUAUUACAGAGAGACAGUCUUCAGUUCACUGUACUCAAACUGUUCAAAAAUGAAAUGAGCCACCUUGGGAGGAAAUGAGGUCUUUGUGACUGAAGCUCAUCAAGCAAAGUAUGGAUGACCGUGUCCAGAAUAUUGUGCAGAGGAUUCUUGUUUAGGGAAAGGUUGGACUGGGUGAGUACUGAUGUUCUCUAGUCCUGUUUCUGAAUGUAAUGGAUUUGCUAAUAAUCUGCUGUAGCACAGAUAAAAUGGUAUAAAUGAAAAAUAAUGUUGCAUCAGGACAGAGACUGAGUCCCUUCUCCAUUUGUUUUGUACUUUGUAUCUAAAACCUAGAUCCCACUUGCUUCCAACACGUCCAGAUCCUGACUGGGGUUCUUAUGAGGCUCACUUGAGUUGUUAGGAACACAGAACAUUAGCUCACAACAAUCUUAUGAGAUAAGUACAGGUACCGUCACCUCAAUUUUACAAAUGAGGAAAUGGGUACAGAGACGCAAAGAGGCCCCAAGUCCCACAGCUAGUAAGUGGCAGAGCCAGAACUCAAACUCAAAUCUUCUGGCUCCAAGACUAAUGUUCUACGUCAUACUUCCUCUUUAUUGGUCUAAUGAGAGUCACUCUGGUAAAAGACUAACUUCCUCCCCUACCUCCUUUCUCCAAGAUGAUUUCUAAUCUAUAGGGCUGAUCAGAAGUUACUUAGCAGUUUAACAACCUUCCUUUUCCUGGCAGUCACCAGAGAAGGCCCACACAUCGUGAUUUAUAGCAACUAUGGUUCUGUGAAUCAUUUCCCCUCCGUAAGUUAUAGUUUGAGAGGCCCAUAGAUUGUUAGGUUUAGAGCUGAAAGGACCUUUUGAGAUUUUCUAAUUUGAUCCUCUCAUUUUAUAGAAGAGGAAACAGACCUACAGAAGUUCACUUGCCCAAGGCCAAAUACCUUGGAAAUGGAGAUAGAACUGGAAGCCUGUAAAAUGAGGGAUUGGACUAGAUGAAUUCUAAGAUCUUGUGAUCUCACUUUGCCAAUCCAAUGAUGACUUAAAAUAUGCAAAGCAUAGUGCUAAGUGCUGGGGAUACAGGUGGAAAAGCAGGGCAGUCCCUGUUCUCAGUGUGCAAUAGGUGCUUCUAAAAGGUGAAGGUAUCAACUGCAAGUCUGAUGGAAAGACAUAAUGGUUCUAAGGAUGCAGUAGUAAAGCACGUGUGUUAGGGAUCUGUAAGGAUGUAGAGGGCCACAGAUGGUUCAUGAGAUCUCACUGAAGGGCUGAGGCCCCUCUUGGGUGCUGGUCUGUGAGCAAGGUUGCCUGGUUCGGUGCUGCAUCCUAUGUCUCUUUAAUUUCCCUAGUUACUUAUGAGUCAUUAACAGUAUAUUUGUGAUUGGUGGUAGGUAAGUGCACAGACUGUGCAUGCACUGUCCUUGAGCACAGCAUGGGUUAUAUGUCAUUGUAACAUGAGACAGAGUUCUUGUUAUCUUACUAUAUAAGUGAGUGCUUUGCUAAAAAUAAACGGAGCUGCUGCCAUCUUGUCUCCCGCCUUAUCAGUGUGCAUUCCAGAUAGAAGAUCAAGCUGGUCUUGAUUCUUCAGGUGAUUGGGAAACCCUAGGUCCUAGGUACGCUCUGUACCCGAGUGAGCUGGUCACGACAAACUGGUGCCCAAUGUGGGGCCCCCUUUGUAGUCUGAAGACUGAAGGGCAGGCAGCGGGAGGAAGCUGAGAAAACAACCCACGAUCCCCAACGUGGGGCCCCCUUUAGCCUGAAGAGUGAAGGGCAGUACAGGACAGAAAACAGAGAAAACAACCCACGGUCAGGACACCGAGGUCUUUGGGAAGCCAGGCAGCCUCCUUGUGAGAGGUCUCCAAAUUGUAUCCUGUGGCAGAAGACUACAGAGAGGUGAUGGAGAACCCUGGGUUAGAACGAAGGAUGUCCGCAUUAUCCAUUCAGAAGGAACAAGGAAAGCAGAAAAGAAAACACAGGCCGGCCAGGAAUUGAAGGAGUCGAAAGAAUAAGAAGAAGGCACUACACAAACUUGUAACCAAGCUGUGACUCUUGUCGUUAUUGUCGGCAGUGGUACAAAACACAGCAGCAGAGACAGGAAAUACAACAAGAUGGACUUUUGUGACAAAACUGCCAUGGCUAAGACUGGUUACAUGGGGAGAGAUACAACCUGAGGUUAUUUUACAAGGGAAUGCAUCUGCAGGAUUGGGGAAGGAAUUUAAUUUUACACCUCAAAAGAAUGGGUCAAUUACAGUAAAGUUUAGUUUUCAAAGAUUGGUAUGAGUCAUGUUCUGAUCAUAUUUUUGGAAUAAUGGACCAAAAGAAAUCAAUUAGCAAUUGUUUGGAAGAAGAGAUGUAUUUCAUAUGUAGUAUUAGGAAUUGUUUUGCUUGUAGCUAUCAUAACUGCUUCUGUAUCUUUAUCCUACUCUAUAUCUAUAGCAAGAAAUGAAAUGGUUCAAGCUGAUUUUAUGAAUCAAUUAGCUCACAAUGUAUCAAAGGGUUUUCAAGCACAAAAAAGGAUAGAUGAGGGAUUUUACCACAUACUUGAGGGAAUGAAGGAAACCAUUAUCGAAAUAGGUGAUGAAUUGGAUAUUUUAGAAUAUAGAACACAUUUGAAAUGUGAUUAUAGGUAUGAAUUUAUUUGUCUUACCAAUGUUAAAUAUAACAACUCCCAAUGGGAUUGGCAAAGAAUACGUAGACAUCUGAAUGGGCUGUUUGGGAAUUCUACUGUUGCAUUGAAUAUUGAUGAUUUAUACAAAAUUGCUGAUGAUAUUGUGAAGGCGGCUGAUGAAGAUUUGAUGCCAGAUAAAACUGCCCAACAUAUACUUGAUUGGCUAGAUAAACUCGAUAACCCUUUUGAUAACCUUGGACACUGGCUUAUGUCUUUAUUAUCUUCUUUAUUGCCAUUAUGUUUGCUAUUGCUGGCCAUGCUGUGUUUUGGACUGUGUUUGCUCAGAUGCAUAGCUAAUCAGAUUAAGGACUUUGGGACUGAGCUUCAUAUGCUCUGUCUCCAGGAAAAACAAAAAGGGGGAAUUGUUAGGGAACUGUAAGGAUGUAGAGGGCCACAGACAGUUCAUGAGGUCUCACUGAAGGGCUGAGGCCCCUCUCGGGUGCUGGUCCACGAACAAGGUUGCCUGGUUUCGUGCUCCGUCCUAUGUCUCUUUAAUUUCCCUAGUUACUUAUGAGUCAUUAACAGUAUAUUUGUGAUUGGUGGUAGGUAAGUGCACAGACUGUGCAUGCACUGUCCUUGAGCACAGCAUGGGUUAUACGUCAUUAUAACAUGAGACAGAGUUCUUGUUAUUUUACUAUAUAAGUGAGUGCUUUGCUAAAAAUA